GAUGAACGCUGGCGGCGUGCCUAAUACAUGCAAGUCGAGCGAAUGGAUUAAGAGCUUGCUCUUAUGAAGUUAGCGGCGGACGGGUGAGUAACACGUGGGUAACCUGCCCAUAAGACUGGGAUAACUCCGGGAAACCGGGGCUAAUACCGGAUAACAUUUUGAACCGCAUGGUUCGAAAUUGAAAGGCGGCUUCGGCUGUCACUUAUGGAUGGACCCGCGUCGCAUUAGCUAGUUGGUGAGGUAACGGCUCACCAAGGCAACGAUGCGUAGCCGACCUGGGAGGGUGAUCGGCCACACUGGGACUGAGACACGGCCCAGAACCCGACGGGAGGCAGCAGUAGGGAAUCUUCCGCAAUGGACGAAAGUCUGACGGAGCAACGCCGCGUGAGUGAUGAAGGCUUUCGGGUCGUAAAACUCUGUUGUUAGGGAAGAACAAGUGCUAGUUGAAUAAGCUGGCACCUUGACGGUACCUAACCAGAAAGCCACGGCUAACUACGUGCCAGCCGCCGCGGUAA
rnacentral:rRNA from 1 species